rnacentral:rRNA from 1 species
UACGUAGGGUGCAAGCGUUUAAUCGGAAUUACUGGGCGUAAAGCGUGCGCAGGCGGUUAUGUAAGACAGGUGUGAAAUCCCCGGGCUUAACCUGGGAACUGCAUUUGUGACUGCAUAGCUAGAGUACGGUAGAGGGGGAUGGAAUUCCGCGUGUAGCAGUGAAAUGCGUAGAUAUGCGGAGGAACACCGAUGGCGAAGGCAAUCCCCCUGGACCUGUACUGACGCUCAUGCACGAAAGCGUGGGGAGCAAACGAGG